UGGAAUAUUUGAAUAUGCACUUUCUGAAUUUAUAAGGGGAAAGAGGGGGAGAGAGAGCAAGGUUAGCAUGGUCGAAGUUUCGAUACGUUGAAUGCAAUUUAAGUUUCAAUGAAAAAUGAAAAUUUUAUAAAGCUUUACAUGUACAACUACAAUGUUGCAAUGCAACCAACAUAACCACAAAACAGAAUUUUUCAUCACAGCAGAAGAGGUCAUGAAUGUGAAGAUCAUGAACUCCCUGGCUUCUUAAUUUUGCGCAUUUUCUGGGAUUCUCAUUGACCAAUUUCGAAACAAGAAGCCAUCUCAUCCACUCUGGACUUUUUGAAAAGCAAAGACACUUUGUAAAUUUUGGCAUACAUUGACAAGUCAAAGAAUAUUUUCAGCAGAAAUUCAAAAAAAGUUUUUAGCAAAAUGUUUGCACACAAUAACACAAAUCUCCACACAUCCCAUCCAGACGAUGCAAGCAGAAGCCGUCAUAGGAGAUUUGGUGCAGGUCUCAAUGACCAAAUUUCCAUCAGCUUUGCUUGAUCCUGGAUCAUCACCCCUUCAAACACUGAACACUACAACAGUACAAUUUCACUCAAAGACAAAGCCAAGUAUAUAUAAGAAACCUGGGUUCAAACUCCACAAACCAAACUUUUCAUAGAUCAUUGAUUUGAAGUACCAAAGUGUCUAAACAUAUGACUGAGUAUCCUAUUAUUCUAAAGAAAAAUGAAAAGCGAAAAGAACUGUGAGAUCAAAUAUUGACUAGGACCAGAAAAACCUUCCAAAGUAUUAGCUGAACUUCUAGAACAACACAUGUCGGCACAUUCACACACAGCCUCAGCAGACAGAGAGAGAGAGAGAAGAGAAGGGGGGUAGGGGGGGUAUCACAAACUAUUUCUGCAUAAACCAAAGAAGAUACACAGAAUCACAAACUAUGUCCGCAUAAACCAAAGAAGAUACACAGAAUCACAAACUAUGUCC
rnacentral:misc_RNA from 1 species